rnacentral:rRNA from 1 species
AGAACGAACGCUGGCGGCAGGCUUAACACAUGCAAGUCGAACGCCCCGCAAGGGGAGUGGCAGACGGGUGAGUAACGCGUGGGAACAUACCUUUCGGUUCGGAACAGACCCGGGAAACUGGGAUUAAUACCGGAUACGUCCUUCGGGAGAAAAUUAUCGCCGAAAGAUUGGCCCGCGUCUGAUUAGCUAGUUGGCGGUGUAAUGGACCACCAAGGCGACGAUCAGUAGCUGGUCUGAGAGGAUGAUCAGCCACACUGGGACUGAGACACGGCCCAGACUCCUACGGGAGGCAGCAGUGGGGAAUAUUGGACAAUGGGCGCAAGCCUGAUCCAGCCAUGCCGCGUGAGUGAUGAAGGCCUUAGGGUUGUAAAGCUCUUUCGGACGGGACGAUAAUGACGGUACCCGUAGAAGAAGCCCGGCUAACUUCGCGCCAGCAGCCGC